CACUCUAAAAAAUCAAGCAUGGGGGUAGUAAAUUCAGCUUAAAUAAAUACACAAUUUUAAUAUAAACAUUUAAGUUUGCAGCAUUUAUUUGUUAAACUAAGUAACCAGCUUGAUUAAUCUAGGUAAACCAACUUGAAAAAUAUGAAAAUAGCCAUACUCAUUUUCCUGUGUAAUUUGAAUGCAUGACAAUGCAACAGCUCAACUUGUCUCAAAUUUUAAGUUGUUUCAGCUCAAAUAAUAUUUUUAAACCUGGGUGAGGCCACUCAAGCAGCAGACGAGACUCCAUGUGCAGCCUUUUUGGAAAGUCGACGCACUCAUGUCUUCUUUGCACAGAGCUACUAUCUGCUUUGGAAUUUCAUCUUUUGUGCUUUGGAACAUCUGACAAGUUCUCUGUCGGGAUCAGAAUUAUUGCUGGAGGACCAUUAACCGACUACGUGGUUGCCCGGGUAAGCCUUCCGGUAGCCAUUUCAGUAGCUCGCUAGCUACUGCUAUUGAUUGUAGAUUGAUUUAUUUUUACUGGUUUAUUGUUUAGCAGUAUUUAGAACGUUUUCACCGAUUCCUGUUCACAAUGAACUGGUGCUGUAAAAUGUGUAAAUAUGAAACUCCCAGAAAGACUGAGCUAUUAAAACACUACAGGCUACGACAUGUGCAUUGUGGGCAAUUUCUGCCUUGUCUCUAUUGGGAAUGCUAUUGUUCUUUCAAAACAUGGGCCAGCCUUAAAUCACACAUGACAAGAAGUCAUGCAUCUUAUCAAACAGCAAAUGUGAAUGAUGUCUUGUCUUUUAAAUGUCCAUGUUGUACCCUAAGCUCCAUCAACACAGAGAGGGAGUACUUUAAGCAUAUUGGCCGUCAUUUAAAAAAACAUGAAACUAUCAUCUGUGUUUUUGAAAAUUGCGAUUUCAAAACGAACAUUUAUGGUACUUUCGCCUCUGGACCAUUGUAUACCCAGAUUGAUGCCAUUGGUGAUGACAAGAGGAGGGGCUGCCAAAUAUAAGAUCCAGAAAAUCAUGGAACUUCUGAAGAUCAACACAGUUGAAACUCGCAGAGAGGUUGCCAUUCGCUGCUUAGUGGUCUACCUUGGGGAAAAUGAGGACAGUCUUUUUGAAUAUGUGGAUCCUGAGAGCCAAACUGGAGAUCUUGAUAGUCGGGUGAUGAAGAUCUAAAUACACACAUAACAUACUGUACAUACUGCACACACUGCUUACUGUGACACACUACAUACACACUACACAUACAGCAAAGAAAUACACACCAACACAUAAAAUAUUGACCAAAAUUGCAACAGAAAGAUCAUUAAAAAAUGGAAAUGAAUGUUAAAAAGCUCCGAAAUGAGAGAAUUAUCAAUGGCAGGUUUUUGAAGGUGCUGUUAAUAAGAUAUUUGCACUUAAUUUGUACAAAAUGUUCAUAAAAUAAACUGUUUUAAUUGUGAAAUAUGGUUCUUGUUUAUUAUUUCCCCCAACUUGAGCAAAAUUAGUUGCAUAUACUAUAAUUAAUAUGUUUACUUUUUGCAUGGACAUUUUUGAGUAAAAAAUGUUUACGUAUACAUUUACAACAACAUAAAAAA